AGUGAACGCUGGCGGUAGGCCUAACACAUGCAAGUCGAACGGCAGCACAGGAGAGCUUGCUCUCUGGGUGGCGAGUGGCGGACGGGUGAGGAAUACAUCGGAAUCUACUUUUUCGUGGGGGAUAACGUAGGGAAACUUACGCUAAUACCGCAUACGACCUACGGGUGAAAGCAGGGGAUCUUCGGACCUUGCGCGAUUGAAUGAGCCGAUGUCGGAUUAGCUAGUUGGCGGGGUAAAGGCCCACCAAGGCGACGAUCCGUAGCUGGUCUGAGAGGAUGAUCAGCCACACUGGAACUGAGACACGGGCCAGACUCCUACGGGAGGCAGCAGUGGGGAAUAUUGGACAAUGGGCGCAAGCCUGAUCCAGCCAUACCGCGUGGGUGAAGAAGGACUUCGGGUUGUAAAGCCCUUUUGUUGGGAAAGAAAUCCAGCUGGCUAAUACCCGGUUGGGAUGACGGUACCCAAAGAAUAAGCACCGGCUAACUUCGUGCCAGCCGCCGCAGUAA
rnacentral:rRNA from 1 species